rnacentral:tRNA from 1 species
GUCCCUGUAGCGCAAUGGACAACACACGUUGGACUUCUAAUCCAAAGGUUGUGGGUUUGAAUUCCACCUGGGAUG